CAGUAGCCGCGGGAAAACGUAGGUGGCAAGCGUUGUCCGGAAUUAUUGGGCGUAAAGGGCUCGCAGGCGGUUUCUUAAGCCUGAUGUGAAAGCCCCCGGCUCAACCGGGGAGGGUCAUUGGAAACUGGGAAACUUGAGUGCAGAAGAGGAGAGUGGAAUUCCACGUGUAGCGGUGAAAUGCGUAGAGAUGUGGAGGAACACCAGUGGCGAAGGCGACUCUCUGGUCUGUAACUGACGCUGAGGAGCGAAAGCGUGGGGAGCGAACAGGAUUAGAUACCCGCGUAGUCCCUGUCUCUUAUAC
rnacentral:rRNA from 1 species